GUGCCAGCAGCCGCGGUAAUACGUAGGGUGCGAGCGUUAAUCGGAAUUACUGGGCGUAAAGCGUGCGCAGGCGGUUAUUUAAGCCAGACGUGAAAGCCCCGGGCUUAACCUGGGAAUGGCGUUUGGGACUGGAUAGCUAGAGUACGGCAGAGGGAGGUGGAAUUCCACGUGUAGCAGUGAAAUGCGUAGAGAUGUGGAGGAACACCGAUGGCGAAGGCAGCCUCCUGGGCCAGUACUGACGCUCAUGCACGAAAGCGUGGGGAGCAAACAGGAUUAGAUACCCUAGUAGUCC
rnacentral:rRNA from 1 species